UCUCUUCCUUCCUUGUUCCACUUGUUGGGGGGAGGAUGAAGUGACUGGCAGAGGAAGUGUGUGUGUGUGUGUGUGUGUGUGUGUGUGUGUUUGAGGAGGGGGGGUUGUUGAGGUGAUAAAAAGGGAUGAAGGAGGAAGAGCAGGCAGAUCCACAGACAAGGAGGGAGGAAGACGCUUUCAGAGGAAUCACUAUAAACAGACACAGACAUGCCUGAGCCCCAGAAGCCAGCAGCCAAGGGCGAUAAGGCUGCAGCAGCCCCUGCUGACAAGAAGGGUAAGCAAAGCACAAUGCAUUCAGUGUUUUGUUUGUCUGUGUGCCCCGUAGACAUAACUGUCUAUAGAUCAUCCUCAUCAUCAUCCGCACCAUCAUCUUCAUCACUGUCAUCGUCAUCUUCAUCUUCAUCCACAAAAUAAUGUGUGUCUUUCCCCUCAUUCAGAGAA